GUCCACGCCGUAAACGAUGGGUGCUAGGUGUGGGGGUGUCGACUCCCUCCGUGCCGCAGCUAACGCAUUAAGCACCCCGCCUGGGGAGUACGGCCGCAAGGCUAAAACUCAAAGGAAUUGACGGGGACCCGCACAAGCAGCGGAGCAUGUGGUUUAAUUCGAUGCAACGCGAAGAACCUUACCAGGGCUUGACAUGCACUGGAAAACCGUAGAAAUACGGUCCUCCUUCGGGAUCAGUGCACAGGUGGUGCAUGGCUGUCGU
rnacentral:rRNA from 1 species